AAGUCGUAACAAGGUUUCCGUAGGUGAACCUGCGGAAGGAUCAUUACUGAGUUAGGGCCCUCUGGGCCCGAACCUCCAACCCUUAUGUUUACCAAACCAUGUUGCUUCGGCGGGCCCGUCCUCUCUCGAGAGGACCGCCGGAGGGGGUCCCACCCUUCUGGCCCGUCGCCCGUCGACAGCCAUCAAACCAAAACUCUUGAUUAAAACCAUGUCGUCUGAGUCUCAAUUUAUAAUUAAAUUAAAACUUUCAACAACGGAUCUCUUGGUUCUG
rnacentral:misc_RNA from 1 species